rnacentral:rRNA from 1 species
GACGAACGCUGGCGGCGUGCUUAACACAUGCAAGUCGAACGGGUCUGCCCUGUUUUUUGCGGGGUGGGUCAGUGGCGAACGGGUUAGUAACCCGUGAGUAACCUGCCCCUCACUUCUGGAUAACCGCUUGAAAGGGUGGCUAAUACGGGGUGUUCUGGCUGUGCCGCAUGGUGUGGCUGGGAAAGAUUCACUUUUGUGGUGUUUUGGUGGGGGAUGGGCUGGCGGCCUAUCAGCUUGGUGGUGGGGUGAUGGCCUGCCAAGGCUUUGACGGGUAGCCGGCCUGGGAGGGUGGGCGGUCAUACUGGGACGGAGAUACGGCCCAGACUCCUGCGGGAGGCAGCAGUGGGGGGUAGUGCACAAUGGGCGGAAGCCUGAUGCAGCGACGUCGCGUGAGGGAUGGAGGCCUGCGGGUUGUGAACCUCUUUCGCCGGUGAAGAAGGUCCUGCUCUUUGGGGUGGGGUUGACGGUAGCCGGGUUAUGAAGCGCCGGCUAACUACGUG